rnacentral:rRNA from 1 species
AGAGUUUGAUCCUGGCUCAGAGCGAACGUUAGCGGCGGGCCUAACACAUGCAAGUCGAACGGGCUGUAGCAAUACAGUCAGUGGCGCACGGGUGAGUAACGCGUAGAUAAUCUACCUUCUGGCGGGGGAUAACAUUCCGAAAGGAAUGCUAAUACCGCAUAAGACCACGGGGUCCUCGGGCCCUGAGGGAAAAGGUGGCCUCUCCUUGGAAGCCAUCACCGGAAGAUGAGUCUGCGUCCCAUCAGCUAGUUGGUAAGGUAAUGGCUUACCAAGGCGAAGACGGGUAGCUGGUCUGAGAGGAUGAUCAGCCACACUGGUACUGGAACACGGACCAGACUCCUACGGGAGGCAGCAGUGGGGAAUAUUGGGCAAUGGGCGAAAGCCUGACCCAGCCACGCCGCGUGAGUGAUGAAGGCCUUCGGGUUGUAAAGCUCUGUGGGAAGGGGCGAAAAACUCAGACCUAAUACGUCUGAGGUUGACGGUACCUUCUUAGCAAGCACCGGCUAACUCUGUGCCAGCAGCCGCGGUAAGACAGAGGGUGCAAACGUUGCUCGGAUUUACUGGGCGUAAAGCGCGUGUAGGCGGGCGAAUAAGUCGGGUGUGAAAUCCCUGGGCUCAACCUAGGAACUGCAUCCGAAACUGUUCACCUGGAGUGAUGGAGAGGAAGGCGGAAUUCCCGGUGUAGAGGUGAAAUUCGUAGAUAUCGGGAGGAACACCAGUGGCGAAGGCGGCCUUCUGGACAUUUACUGACGCUGAGACGCGAAAGCGUGGGGAGCAAACAGGAUUAGAUACCCUGGUAGUCCACGCU